rnacentral:rRNA from 1 species
CCUACGGGAGGCAGCAGUGGGGAAUAUUGGACAAUGGGGGGAACCCUGAUCCAGCCAUGCCGCGUGUGUGAAGAAGGCCCUCGGGUUGUAAAGCACUUUCAGUGAGGAAGAACGCCUGGUGGUUAAUACCCAUCAGGAAAGACAUCACUCACAGAAGAAGCACCGGCUAACUCCGUGCCAGCAGCCGCGGUAAUACGGAGGGUGCGAGCGUUAAUCGGAAUUACUGGGCGUAAAGCGCGCGUAGGUGGCUUGAUAAGCCGGUUGUGAAAGCCCCGGGCUCAACCUGAGAACGGCAUCCGGAACUGUCAAGCUAGAGUGCAGGAGAGGAAGGUAGAAUUCCCGGUGUAGCGGUGAAAUGCGUAGAGAUCGGGAGGAAUACCAGUGGCGAAGGCGGCCUUCUGGACUGACACUGACACUGAGGUGCGAAAGCGUGGGUAGCAAACAGGAUUAGAUACCCCGGUAGUC